UACGUAGGGGCCUAGCGUUGUCCGGAUUUAUUGGGCGUAAAGAGCUCGUAGGCGGUUCGGUAAGUCAGGUGUGGAAUCUCCACGCUCAACGUGGAGGCGCCACCUGAAACUGCCGUGACUCGAGUCCGGUAGGGGAGUGUGGAAUUCCCGGUGUGAGCGGUGAAAUGCGUAGAUAUACAGGAGGAACACCUGUGGUGUAGACAGCUUACUGGACCACUUCUGACGCUGAGACACGAAAGCGUGGGUAGCAAACAGG
rnacentral:rRNA from 1 species